rnacentral:rRNA from 1 species
GCGGAGGAAAAGAAACCAACAGGGAUUGCCUCAGUAACGGCGAGUGAAGCGGCAACAGCUCAAAUUUGAAAUCUGGUCCCCUUUGGGGGCCCGAGUUGUAAUUUGAAGAGGAUGCUUUUGGCGAGGCGCCGUCCGAGUUCCCUGGAACGGGACGCCGCAGAGGGUGAGAGCCCCGUACGGUCGGACGCCGAGCCUCUGUAAAGCUCCUUCGACGAGUCGAGUAGUUUGGGAAUGCUGCUCAAAAUGGGAGGUAAACCCCUUCUAAAGCUAAAUACCGGCCAGAGACCGAUAGCGCACAAGUAGAGUGAUCGAAAGAUGAAAAGCACUUUGAAAAGAGAGUUAAAAAGCACGUGAAAUUGUUAAAAGGGAAGCGCUUGCGACCAGACUUGCGCCCGUCGGAUCAACCGUCGCUUGCGGCGGCGCACUCCGGCGGGCUCAGGCCAGCAUCAGUUCGCUCGGGGGGAGAAAGGCGGCGGGAAUGUAGCUCCUCGGAGUGUUAUAGCCCGCCGUGUAAUACCCUCGGGUGGACUGAGGACCGCGCGUAGC